rnacentral:rRNA from 1 species
AACGAACGUUAGCGGCGCGCCUAACACAUGCAAGUCGAGCGAGAAAGGGCUUCGGCCCCGGUAAAGCGGCGCACGGGUGAGUAACACGUGGAUAACCUACCCCUUGGUGGUGGAUAACCUUCCGAAAGGAGGGCUAAUACAGCGUAAGACCACGACUUCGAAAGAGGUUGAGGUAAAAGUGGGCCUCUGUACACAAGCUCACGCCAGGGGAUGGGGUCCGCGGCCCAUCAGCUAGUUGGUAGGGUAACGGCCUACCAAGGCGAAGACGGGUAGCUGGUCUGAGAGGAUGAUCAGCCACACUGGAACUGAGACACGGUCCAGACUCCUACGGGAGGCAGCAGUGGGGAAUCUUGCGCAAUGGACGAAAGUCUGACGCAGCGACGCCGCGUGAGUGAUGAAGGCCUCGG